UUUUUUUUUUUUUUUUUUGAGUAGGGAGAUAGGGGGGAGGGACUCGAACCUAAGUCUAACAAGUGAGUAAUAUGCCUUCAAGCUAGGCAACAAUAAUAAUGAUAUUUAUGAUGCAAAAACUUGGCUUUAGAUUACUGCCAAGUCAAAUUUAAUCCUAGAUAAUCUGUCCCAAUUUUUGCCAAGCCUAUGUAUAACACUUUACUAGAACUUACAAGUGAAUAUUGGUGAAAAAGAUGCACAGCAGAGAGGCUCUUAGUGCAGAAGAUUUGAUUGAUCACUUCCUCUUCAAUGUAAGACUACAGAACCCCCAUAUAGAAAUGAAGAAUUCCAACAUUUAUCACACAAUGCAAAAUUUCAUCUUGAGCUUUCGCCAGCACAUUUUAUCUGCAGGGCAGCUCUAACAACAUUUUCCCUUGUAAUAAUUCCAACCAGCUUGCCAUCACCAUCUACCACUGGAAGUCUAUGAUACUUUGUGUCAAGCAACAACCUAAUAUUAGAAGGAUUUGAGUAAGGUAUGAUUUCCAAUUUCAUAAGCAAGAAAAAAGCUGCAGCAACUUAGCAUGCAUUAUAUGCAAAGAUCAGCAUGCUUUUAGAUCUUCCAUUAGUUAUGAACGUCAAAUGCUGUAUGUUGUGGUGUUGAAUUUUAUAAUACCUAGCAGCGUCCUCUAGAAUGGUGGUUUCAUUAAUGACAAGAGGAGCAGGUGUCAUCAGAUCACCAACAACUUCACCAUUGUUCUUAGUAAGUAGUUUCUGCAUCUCAUUGAAUGUUUGCAAUAUUUAUCCAUAAUCAGAUAAGUAAUUAGCAUAAAAUAAUUUUCCACAACAAGUUACAAAGAGGACAUAUGUUGCAGGGACAAAAAAAAAAAUGAACAGCAAAACAGAGAGCAUAACAUGACUGCCUAAACUCUAGAAUAGAAAUUUGCAAUUCCAGUAAUUAAUUUCUUACUCAGCAAAAUUUAUCUCAAUAGUCACCGACAUGGAAAGGAAGCAAGGAAGCACUAAAGUGAAGAUAUGCAAGGCCUUUUUAAGUAAAAAAUGAGCCAAAAUGGAAAUUUCAACGACCAUAACAUGUAGAUUGAAAGUUUAAUUAGAAAAACUUGGGCACGAUCAUUUUAAGAAGGGUGUUGAGGCUAUCAGCUUUCAGUUGACGGUUUUUCUUUUCGAGUACAAACUUGGAAUAGAAAGCAAACAGUAUUACCAAUAUAGAAGACCAUGUGUAGUAUUGGAUCAGAUUUCCUUGAACCAGAAUGAGAGUAAGCAUAGGAUCAAAUAUUCCUCUUUAUGAUACUUUAAGUAUAUCAAAUCUUAUUUUAGGACUGAUUUUCUCCAAUCAAUGGCCAUUGAUAAUGUAACAUCCUCCCGGUAGCAACU
rnacentral:misc_RNA from 1 species